GUGGGCUGCAGCACGCUGUCGAUCUGUGCUUACACUGCGUGUGGGUUGUGCGGUAUUAUCUGCGUGUGUGUGCUCUGUUACAGACAAGGUUCUUCUGCAGUGUUGUGCGUGAGCUGUGGGAAGGAAAACUCAAACUCUGAGGCCGAAGAUGUGCAGUAUGCCAGUCUCAGAUUCGUCAGGCCACCCAGAGCGGCUGUUCCUGCAUCAGUGAAUGUGACUUGUUCAACUGUAGCCAAUCACAAAUCCUGAUUAAACAAUGCA